GUGUGUGAUCCGGAGACAGCAGAAAUGUCUAUUUUGAUUGAUCAAGAGUCCCUAUAAGGUACUUCCGUUUGCACAGCUAAGCGUGGGCUGGGGCUGGCACGGCCAGCUGUGCCAUUCCUGUGGCCACGUGGCUGGUGGCCAGACCCGGGCUGGGAGAGAGCUGAGGACUGUUUCCUGGGAAGCCUUGCCCAGUGUCCCCCCACUGCCUUCCCCGUGCAGCUGCUGGGCAAGUCAUCCGCCUGGGCACCGGGGCCUUGCUUGGCGCUGGCGGACACGGAUCCUCCUGGCGGCUCUGGCAGCUUGGACAGGUUCCACGGAGGAAACUGAGGCAGAACCUCACCUGGUCCUGCCAUCCGGUGACUUCGGCGUCUCUACGUCAGAGAGGGAGCUUGUGGGAUCUCCGCCCCCUUCCAAGAUACUGUUCAUUCUUCUUCUUUCUCACAGGGAUGAGUAUUAGUGAAAACGGAUUCUCUUCCGCGAAAGUCACCUCACGUGGCUGCACUCUGGGAAGCUGGCAGGGUUUGCCUCUGACACCACAUUGUCUGUUUUUCUCUUCCGCCCCCCCUCCCAGUUUUAAAAACCACAUUCAUUACUUUUAUUUUCCUUUUCGCUUUAUUUUUCAGUGUGCAUUACGCAAACGUUAAAGAGCAUUAACAAAAUUCUAAGUAAAAGGCGAGAAGAACCACCCACAACUCUGCCACCACCGGCCACACUGCGUCACUUUGCCGGGCCCUGCCCCGCGCAGAGCCACACGCCCAUUCCUCGGGUGAAUACGAUGUAAUCGAUGUGACCAUUUUCCUACAUGUGAUCAAUACCAAUGGCUCCAGCUUCUUGCCGUCGUGGGAAAGCACUCUGCUUUCCCCUGUGGGACCAAUUCCUCGUGAUGAAUCCCUAAGAGUUUCCUCUCGAUUUUGCUUUGGAUCCAGAGGGGCCAGAGAUCUCGGGGAGCUGGGCAUCUCUUUGAUCCUACUGGAAUCUGUCUGAUCUUCAGACUCACCAGGGAACUUUGACAAGAUACUGCCGCCUGGGCCUCCUUGCAGACCCACUGAACUGAAAUUUCUCAGGACUGGUCUGUGGAGACAGGAUCACUUGGUGUCACGGAGGGGUGCGGGUGAGGAGGACACUCUUAGGAGCAGCCAGCGCACCUGCUCUUCUCAGUUUCCCCUCGGCUAGCCCCAUGGUGACAUGGCCUGGUGCUGCCCCAUCACGUCAACUGGCGUCGUUGGCCCUGGGCUGAGGCUGACGCUUCUUGUCCCACUGGGGCCAUAAGCCUCUCGAAUAGAUGGCUGAAACAAUGCUGCAUUUACCUUGUCCUUCAGUCUACACCAAGUGGCAAGACCCCAGCAUGAGCUGGUUCGUGUGUGGGGUUGGGAUUUUCCCAGACCUGUCUGCUCCUCAGCUCACCCCCACUCCUAGCCCCUGUCCCACUGACCCUGAAGGUAUAUUGUGGCUUUGUUAGUGAUUGUGGUCGCUUCCUCCUGGUGCUGUUUUUCAGUCACAUAUUUGACAGAUUGUAUUUUUUUUUUGAGGAAGUUUAGCCCUGAACUAACAUCUGCCACCAAUCCUCUUCUUUUUUGCUGAGGAAG
ensembl:lncRNA